rnacentral:misc_RNA from 1 species
UGAACCAGAAAAGCUUCCCCAGCAGUCAGAUGGCUAGUCAUGAACACCGUCGACCACACAGUACACGCCACCUCCGGCAAGCUCGCCGCUUCCUCCAACGACACUCCCUCCGGCACCGGCAGCACCUGAUCCGCCGGUACCGCUACCUUCUCCGCAUACCCUCCUUGGUUAAGAAGAGCACACACCUGAUCCCCGACCUUCCAGCGAGCCACCGAUCCACCGACGGCGAUCACGGUGCCGGAGCACUCGAACCCGAGGUAGGGG